AACGAACGCUGGCGGCAGGCUUAACACAUGCAAGUCGAACGCGUGUAGCAAUACACGAGUGGCGCACGGGUGAGUAACGCGUGGAUAUCUGCUUUUUGGUUCGGAAUAACCCCGGGAAACUGGGGCUAAUACCGGAUGGUUCCUUCGGGAUAAAGAUUUAUCGCCAAAAGAUGAGUCCGCGUCCGAUUAGCUAGUUGGUGAGGUAAUGGCUCACCAAGGCGACGAUCGGUAGCUGGUCCGAGAGGACGAUCAGCCACACUGGGACUGAGACACGGCCCAGACUCCUACGGGAGGCAGCAGUGGGGAAUAUUGGACAAUGGGGGCAACCCUGAUCCAGCCAUGCCGCGUGAGUGAUGAAGGCCUUCGGGUUGUAAAGCUCUUUUGGCGGGGACGAUGAUGACGGUACCCGCAGAAUAAGCCCCGGCUAACUUCGUGCCAGCCGCCGCAGUAAUAC
rnacentral:rRNA from 1 species